GCUGUCUCUUCCACGAAGCAGGGGGGAAAAGUUCCCGUCGAUCGCACAAACAAAUAAGCUUAAACCGUUUAACGAUUAAACGGUGUUGAAUACCCGUGAAAGCUUAGCUCAUGGUUAUCAACAAGUUUAGACGAUAGCAGACGAUCAUCACCACGUCCAAACUUGUCAAAUCCAGUUGCUCGAGAGUUAUAAUGAAUCUAUCUGCUUAAAUGAAAUCUCUCUAAACACACUGGUAUUCUCUUUUACAACCGUCACAUAAUUGCCUUAAUUGAAGCGAUUACUUUAAUUAUCGAUCACUGAAUAUUAUUUGGCACUCUUGGUGCCAGAGAGACUUUGUUGUUUUAAAUGUUGUGAUGAUCGGUAACGCCACCGAGUGAUUUACGGGACGAUACAACACGUCAGCCCAACUUAUUUUCACAUUAGUGAAUUAUUACCAAAAUGAAACUUGACGAAAAUUGCCUACAACGCCUCUCGUUGGCCUCCCAAAAGACCGAGAAAGAACAACAGCAGCCGUCUGCAGUCAGAUCUGAUUUAUGUUUCACGAACCUGAGAUUGGAUCGGAAAAGCUCGAAGCCAGAAAGAAAGAAACAAAGAAAGCACAACAACAAUAUUCAUCACAACAGACUUCCCCUUUUUUUUACUUUAGUUUCUUUUUGUUGCUGUGGUCCUAACUUACAAAACUAAUUGAAACGAAAAACAAAAAGCAGUUGAGUAAAAUACAGUGAAAGAAGUACUCGUUUUGAGCC